CACCGGGCGGCGGACUGAAUCCUUUGCAGACGACUUAAAUACGCGACGGGGUAUUGUAAGUGGCAGAGUGGCCUUGCUGCCACGAUCCACUGAGAUUCAGCCCUUCGUCGCUCCGAUUCGU
rfam:Ricinus communis cultivar Hale ctg_1100012314747, whole genome shotgun sequence.